GACAGAGGGGGCAAGCGUUGCUCGGAAUUACUGGGCGUAAAGGGCGCGUAGGCGGGAUGGCAAGUCGGUCGUGAAAUCCCUCGGCUCAACUGAGGAUCGUCGAUCGAUACUGCCGUUCUUGAGGAUUGCAGAGGAGACUGGAAUUCCCGGUGUAGCGGUGAAAUGCGCAGAUAUCAGGAGGAACACCGGUGGCGAAGGCGGCAUCCUGGACCGACACUGACACUGAGGAGCGAAAGCCAGGGGAGCAAACGGG
rnacentral:rRNA from 1 species